UACGGAGGAUGCAAGCGUUAUCCGGAAUGAUUGGGCGUAAAGCGUCCGCAGGUGGCUAUGUAAGUCUGCUGUUAAAGAGUGAGGCUCAACCUCAUAAGAGCAGUGGAAACUACAUGGCUAGAGUGCGUUCGGGGCAGAGGGAAUUCCUGGUGUAGCGGUGAAAUGCGUAGAGAUCAGGAAGAACACCGGUGGCGAAGGCGCUCUACUAGGCCGCAACUGACACUGAGGGACGAAAGCUAGGGGAGCGAAUGGG
rnacentral:rRNA from 1 species